GAUGAAGAACGCAGCAAAAUGCGAUAAGAAAUGUGAAUUGCAGAAUUCAGUGAAUCAUCGAAUCUUUGAACGCACAUUGCGCCCGCUGGUAUUCCGGCGGGCAUGCCUGUUCGAGCGUCAUUUCAACCCUCAAGCCCCCGGGUUUGGUGUUGGGGAUCGGCUCUGCCCUUCUGGGCGGUGCCGCCCCCGAAAUACAUUGGCGGUCUCGCUGCAGCCUCCAUUGCGUAGUAGCUAACACCUCGCAACUGGAACGCGGCGCGGCCAUGCCGUAAAACCCCAACUUCUGAAUGUUGACCUCGGAUCAGGUAGGAAUACCCGCUGAACUUAAGCAUAUCAAUAAGCGGAGGA
rnacentral:misc_RNA from 1 species